rnacentral:rRNA from 1 species
GAUGAACGCUGGCGGCGUGCCUAAUACAUGCAAGUCGAGCGAACAGACGAGGAGCUUGCUCCUCUGACGUUAGCGGCGGACGGGUGAGUAACACGUGGAUAACCUACCUAUAAGACUGGGAUAACUUCGGGAAACCGGAGCUAAUACCGGAUAAUAUAUUGAACCGCAUGGUUCAAUAGUGAAAGACGGUUUUGCUGUCACUUAUAGAUGGAUCCGCGCCGCAUUAGCUAGUUGGUAAGGUAACGGCUUACCAAGGCAACGAUGCGUAGCCGACCUGAGAGGGUGAUCAGCCACACUGGAACUGAGACACGGUCCAGACUCCUACGGGAGGCAGCAGUAGGGAAUCUUCCGCAAAGGGCGAAAGCUUGACGGAGCAACGCCGCGUGAGUGAUGAAGGUCUUCGGAUCGUAAAACUCUGUUAUUUGGGAAGAACAAAUGUGUAAGUAACUAUGCACGUCUUGACGGUACCUAAUCAGAAAGCCACGGCUAACUACGUG